GUACAUGUGGAUAUUAUAUAAAGGUAUACAUGUGUACAUUAAUAAUCCCUCUAAUUUUUGAUUAGGCAUUCAUAUUAUUUUUCUAGAUAUCUAUAUUUUAUCAUGUAUGUAAGUAAUGAAAAGUGCUUUUAAAACAAGUGCCCAGCUCUAGAUGUUCCUUGCACAAGGUCCCUCAUUUUUUAGUUAUUUUUUUUUAAAUAUUUUAGGACAUUAAAUUUUUGAUUAUGAUAACAAAAACAUCUUAACUUUUAUUUUUUGAUUUAUGAAAAAGGUCUUGGAUUAUUUUGAAUUGUACAUACAGUACAAUUUGAACUUGAGUCACACCUGUUUAAACCAAUACUUAACAUUUAAAGAAGUCAAUUAGAGGACUUUCUUAGAAAAAACCACUCUCCGUUUUCUUUAAGUCAAACCUAUAUUGGAAAAGGUUGAGAGUUGGAAGAGCCUUCUCUUUGCCGGCAUGCAAUUGGAUGAACCUUCUCUGUGAAAUCUAGGGAUCGUUGUUUCAGGUCAGGGCCUAUAUUUUUGUAGAAGUUGUGAGAUUGAACUUCUUGUGUUGUAAUCUAGCAGGCAGCUAUCGGUUUGAGAAUAGGUGAAUGAAUCAUUGGUUUAGGAAUGUAGCUUGAGCGUCCACAUGUUUUCAUAAACCAAGAUAGGUUCUCGCACAUCUAUAUACAUGACUUUCAGCAGUUGCAUCCUUGGAAAGAAUAAUAGUUAAUCCCUUGAAAAGUUUUGAUGCUAGAGUUAUGUGCUUUUGACCUAUUGCAGAUUGGCGAAGUCCCGAAACUUACGUCUGGUUUCACAGAAUUUAUCGAUUCUGCAGAGAAUCUGGAGAAGAGGAAGAUGAACCAAGCUUUGCUGGCAAAUCACAACACUCUGCUUGACUUGCUUGAGAUUUCUCAACUUAUGGCCACAUGCCUGAGAAACGAAAAAUUUGACGAAGCGCUUGACCUGGGAGCAUUUGUAUCCAAACUUGCAACUAUACAUCCCAACACCUGCAGCGGAGGUUAGACAAACAACUCAAUCACUUCUCUCACAGCUUCUCCAGAAACUGCGCUCAAAUAUACAGCAGGAAGAUAGACAAAUCAGGCACUUCUCUCCGUUUCAACCGCUGUGUUAAUCACAACGUAACCGGUGUUAUAUAGUACCAUGUUGAAUUAUCAGUUGAUGAUGGAAAUGACAAUGCCACUUUUGUAGUGUUCGACAGAGAGAUGCUUAAACUCACUAAGCAAGAUGCAGCUCCAUCGGUGCGUAUAACAUCUUGCUUAGCUUCAGAUUUCUGAUAUCUUAUAACAACGCAUGGCUAUCUGAACGAUACCAUCAAAGUUCGUUUGAUGGCUUUUAAGCUUCAAAUUAUAUGUUACAUGACCAUCUCUGUAGAUAUCCAUUCUUUUUGUUAAGCUACAAAAGAUGUCUCUCUGCUGCACUUAGCCAUUAAGUUGAUAGAGGCAUUUGCUAUUGUGGGACUGAGGUAGUGUCUCUUGAGCUUUACGUAUCGUUAUCAUGGCUAUGGGCAAUCGUUAGAAAUAACGGUUUUCUUAACUCCUUCAUUAAUGGGCAAAUGGACUUAACGAUCGUACCGGAGUGGAAACGUUGCUUUAAAUCUUCUUUCUCCUUCACUAUCACCACGAGUAGAAAGAUGACCACCAUGAAGUAUAGAGUUGAUCUGUAAUUUUUUUCUCAAUAUCUACAAACAAAACUGAAGAAGGCAAGUUAUAGAGAAGCUUUGCAAGCUGGUGUUUGGAGUUUAUUUACUAAUUUACAAUAAUCAUUUUGAGAUAGAUUUUCCUGUUUGUCUUCGUCGUAUGUUUGUCAGAGACAUGACAAACAGACACUAAGACCAUGAUUAUCGCAUAAGCGAUCCUUAGGUUUUUUUUUUUUCUUUUUUUUUGUUUUCUUAAAAAAAAUAAAUAAAACAAGCCAAUCACUGGCCGUCACGUGUCG